ensembl:snoRNA SNORD57 small nucleolar RNA SNORD57
UGGAUGUGAUGAAAUGACCUAAGCCUGACCUAUCCACUGGUGGAGGCAAAAGCUGAUUUAAUGAGUCUGAUUC